rnacentral:rRNA from 1 species
UACAGAGGUCUCAAGCGUUGUUCGGAUUCAUUGGGCGUAAAGGGUGCGUAGGUGGCGCGGUAAGUCGGGUGUGAAAUCUCGGAGCUUAACUCCGAAAUUGCAUUCGAUACUGCCGUGCUUGAGGACUGGAGAGGAGACUGGAAUUCAUGGUGUAGCAGUGAAAUGCGUAGAGAUCGUGAGGAAGACCAGUGGCGAAGGCGGGUCUCUGGACAGUUCCUGACGCUGAGGCGCGAAGGCCAGGGAGCAAACGGG